rnacentral:ribozyme from 1 species
GCUGCUCGAAACUUUGCACACCUCUACGCGGUGAGCAGCAGGCAACACAGUGGUUUGAUACUGUGGCUAAGAUGUAAAG